CAGUAGCCACGGUAAUACGAAGGGUGCAAGCGUUAAUCGGAAUUACUGGGCGUAAAGCGUGCGUAGGCGGUGAGUUAAGUCUGCUGUGAAAUCCCCGGGCUCAACCUGGGAAUGGCAGUGGAUACUGGCUCGCUAGAGUGUGUCAGAGGAUGGUGGAAUUCCCGGUGUAGCGGUGAAAUGCGUAGAGAUCGGGAGGAACAUCAGUGGCGAAGGCGGCCAUCUGGGACAACACUGACGCUGAGGCACGAAAGCGUGGGGAGCAAACAGGAUUAGAUACCCCGGUAGUCCCUGUCUCUUAUAA
rnacentral:rRNA from 1 species